CUGAACCAGAAGAGGACCACACAGCCCUGUCUGCAGUGUCUCUGCCCCAGGAAGCUCCCCUUUUAAGGGGCAGUGUUACUUGUUGACCUCUGCCCCCCCAACCCAUCACAGGACCAGCCAGCCCUCCUCCCUGGAGGAUGUUGCCGUGCCCCGAGGCCAGUGUCCGAGGUGGCCGUGACCCCAGCUCAGGCAGCGAUUUGGCCCUUUAAGAGCCCGCCCAGACUCCCACCCGCUGCAGCGGAGCCCAGCUGUCGGUGCCCCGGGGACCUCGCUGUGUUUACACCCACGGUCACAUGGCAACCUCUCCCAGCUCCCGGGCAGGCUGCACGGUUACCUCAUCUGCAGUCCAAUGACCUCAUCCACGUGCAAUGUGGCAAGUGCCAGACGAGAGCAGGGAGCAGAGAGGGCCCAGCUUCUCCCUCGCAGCCCCCCGGGAGUAGCUGUCCCCCAGGCUGGCUCAGGAAGGGCCGGAGGAGCUGCCCACUUGAGAUGAAAACCAAGCCCAGGAAAUAAAAAUGGAAGAAACAACACACAAGUUCAAUAGCUUCAGAGGUCAAGAAUUUAUUUGGAUAAGCAAGGCUGGAGCAGCACCGGGGAGCGUGCAAAUAAUUUCCCCCCAAAUCUGGACUCCAGGACAUUCCUCCUGCACACAGAUGAACGCCCCCAUGAGCAAAUUGCCUCUCCAGCCUGUCCAGAGUCACCUAGACUGCUGGCAAAUGGUUUUUUCAGAGCAAGGUAAGCACUGUGGAGAACCGGAGGCUGUAUAUUUAAACAAUUAUGGGCCUCUGUGUGUCUCUGCCUCCUGCCGUACAGUCCCGAGCAAGAUGGUGUAAUAUGUGCAUUUUACAUAUCAAUGGCAGAGGAGGCUGUUUCCAGAUGGCUGUACCUAUUUCAAAGCCACCUUUUUAUGCAGAAGGAAGACUGUGUGACCUCCCUCCAAGUAAAUGUGUUUUGUAAGCCCUGGGAAUGAAUGCUUAAAAAAUGGUCCUGGGCUAUAUUUCAUGUCCAGUCCAUGGUGGUGUGUGUGCACAGCUGUUCCGGGCUGGCAUGUGGUAGCAUAUUAAAAGGAAGAUUACCAUUUCCCAUUUUUUCCCCCUUCUGAAGGCUUGAUAUGCAUAUAUGAAACUUGUGAAAAAACUCGGCAUAAUGAGACAAGGAAGCCGGGUCUCAAGGCACUAGUCGGUGCACAUCUGGAGUUUGUAGCAUUCUAGAGAUAGUUACUUAUUCCCAGGAGCCCCUGGCGGAGUGGGAAUGGUAGCCCGGUAUCCAUGGUGAGCUUCCCUAUCGCAUCGUGCCAGGUGUGUGCGUGUGUGUUAUUUCUUGGAAAGGCUGUCCUCUGAGGGGUGGGGAGGGGAGAGGACGAGAGGAGGGAAAAAAACAGAAGGGAGGUAAUUAGGCGCCACCUUGCCCAGCGGAGCCAGCUCAGGCGUCUGAAAUCAGGAGUGGGUAUUGGAGGGGCGCGGAGUCAGAUGGUGCCGGAGCCUUCUCGGCGCCUGCCAGCUCUGCGCUUGUUUCUAUGGGGACAGGACCAGGGAAGAGGAGCCCUGGGGUCAGAGGAGGCACACAGAUAACAGGACCAAGCGGGAAGGCUCUGGGAAGGCCCCUGCUACCUGCCUCCCACGCCACGUGGUGCUGGUCUGGAACUGCCCACCUGAAUUCAUGCUGGGUUUUUUUUGGCAGUUAAGAAAUUGGAAGUGUUUCAGGCCUUCUAGGCUGUUCUUUAGAACAAGCCUCUGCGGGGUAGCUUUUCUACUGGAUCUCCGAAUGGCUGGCCUUUGUAUUCCCAUGGAAUGGACAGAGAGGUGAGGGUCAGGGACCGUAGGGACCUGCCUUACCUGAGCGGGAAGCCGAGAGCGAGUCUGGGAACUUUUCCCAGGGAGAGGGUUCGUUGGAGUUUCACAGAUGCAUGGGAUUCGUGGAUUUUUUUUUUCUUUUUCCUUUUGAGCUGCAAGAUUGCGAGGUUCCAGAUGCUCUGUGUAAAACAAUGCCCCACAGGGGAAAGCCAGGGAGAGGAAGUGUGAGGUCCAGCUUGAGGCCACCCUAAAAAGGACUAUAAACAGCAGCUGCUUCUAUUGUGUGUGCCAAGCGCUGCCUGUGAGCUUAGGCCUUCUAACUCCUGGUUUCUUUCUCUGAAGCCAGAUGUGACCAACAGGAGUCUGUCAAGUCAGAGGUGGACCCCAGAUGGUGGGAAUCCGGCAAGGGAAGCAGAGGGGCUCGUGGAAGGUGUCUUGUGCCCUAGCGGGGAGAAGGCUGUCUGCCCUUUCUUGGGGGCCUUGGCCUCACCCCGCCCCGUGUCUGUGGUCCUGUCACCCAGCGCCCUAGGUCUGGCAGCUGAGGCAGAAUGGGAGAAGGGAGUCUUACUUGGCUGAUCUUCCAGCUCCGACAUGAGGCCACAGGAUGACGGCAGAGGAGUCCCCAGAGGAGCCACGGUGGGGUAAACCCCAGAUGUGGGGCAGGAAGAGGAGUCAACAAACGAGCUCAUGCCUUGGGACCCUGCAGCCCUGGGUGAUGAAACACGAGGAUGUGAGCAGGAAAAGACAGAGAUAUUUCACUCAGCCAUGCUGGCAAAGGGAUGGUCAGUUCCUCUGUUAAUAGGGAAUAAACGUCAACUUCAGAGCCUUACCUCUUCUAGU
rnacentral:lncRNA from 1 species